GACUGUGAGAGUUGUGAGCUGGGGUAAGCUUGGUGCUACCUCUUUUCUUUUGUUUGUUAUUUUCUUUGAAUAAGAAGAUUGAAAGUUUUUGAAUAUUGUGAAGUGAAUUAUGGAAUGGAAAUGUGAUUGGUAUUAUUUGAGAAGAAGAAAGAUUGAAUGCUGAAAUCUGAUUAUAGUUCAGCAGAGAGAAUGGGUCUGUAUUUGUGUGAAAUACUGUAAUGUGAAUGGCAGUUUUGUGUGAAGAAUUCCAGAGAUUGGAACGAGGGUAAUUGUGUGCUGAAAGCUAUGAAGGUGAAGUAUUACAGUUGGAGAUUAUGAGGGUGAAUAUAUUGGUAGAAAUAGCAAUUAUUGGUAUAACUGAAUUGCUGUAAGGAAGAGACCGAUAAGGUGAAGGAGGAGAUUAUAGU
rnacentral:lncRNA from 1 species